GCCCGCGUAGCUCAGUGGUAGAGCGCAUCACUAGUAAUGAUGAGGUCUUCAGUUCGACUCUGGACGUGGGCA